rnacentral:rRNA from 1 species
CAUGAAGCCGGAAUUGCUAGUAAUGGCAGGUCAGCAUACUGCCGUGAAUACGUUCCCGGGCCUUGUACACACCGCCCGUCACACCAUGAGAGUUGGGAAUACCCGAAGCCUGUGAGCUAACUUUUAGAGGCAGCAGUCGAAGGUAGAAUCAAUGAUUGGGGUGAAGUCGUAACAAGGUAAC